rnacentral:rRNA from 1 species
CAGUUCGGAUUGUAGGCUGCAACUCGCCUACAUGAAGUCGGAGUUGCUAGUAAUCGCGGAUCAGAAUGCCGCGGUGAAUGCGUUCCCGGGUCUUGUACACACCGCCCGUCACACCAUGGAAGUUGGGGGCGCCCGAAGUUGCCUAAGAAAUAAGGUACCUAAGGCGAAACCAAUGACUGGGGUGAAGUCGUAACAAGGUAUC